rnacentral:rRNA from 1 species
UACAGAGGUCUCAAGCGUUGUUCGGAUUCAUUGGGCGUAAAGGGUGUGUAGGUGGCGCGCUAAGUCGGGUGUGAAAUUUCGGAGCUUAACUCCGAAACUGCAUUCGAUACUGGCGUGCUUGAGGACUGGAGAGGAGACUGGAAUUUACGGUGUAGCAGUGAAAUGCGUAGAUAUCGUAAGGAAGACCAGUGGCGAAGGCGGGUCUCUGGACAGUUCCUGACACUGAGACACGAAGGCCCAGGGGAGCAAAACGGGG